rnacentral:rRNA from 1 species
UACAGAGGGGGCAAGCGUUGUUCGGAAUUACUGGGCGUAAAGGGCGCGUAGGCGGCCCGCUAAGUCGAACGUGAAAUCCCCGAGCUCAACUCGGGAACUGCGUCCGAUACUGGUGGGCUUGAAUCCGGGAGAGGGAUGCGGAAUUCCAGGUGUAGCGGUGAAAUGCGUAGAUAUCAGGAGGAAUACCGAUGGCGAAGGCAGGUCUCUGGGCUGACACUGACGCUCAUGCACGAAAGCGUGGGGAGCAAACAGG